AAAGUAUCAUCUGUUUCUUAAGUAAAUAUUGAAUUUGACUUUUAAGUGAAAAGGCUUAAAUAAUUUAAAAAGACGAUAAGACCCUAUAAAUCUUUACAAAAAAUUUAUUUUAAAUUUUAAAUUAUAAAUAUAUAAAAUAUAAAGUAAACUUUUGUUAUGCUGGGGCGGCGUAGAUAUAUAAAAAACUGUUUAUAAUAUUUAAUCAAUAAUAUUUGAUUAAUAACUUUGAUCCUUCAAUAGAUUAAAAAAUUAAGAUACUUUAGGGAUAACAGCGUUAUUUUUUCUGAGAGUUCUUAUCGAAGAAAGAGUUUGCGACCUCGAUGUUGAAUUAAAAUUCUUUAAUGGUGUAGCAGCUAUAUAAAGGAGUCUGUUCGACUUUUAAUAUUUUACAUGAUUUGAGUUCAGACCGGCGUAAGCCAGGUUGGUUUCUAUCU
rnacentral:rRNA from 1 species